AAUUAAUAAAUACAUACACUGUAAUGAAUUGCUGUAAAAAUUACAGCAAUAUUUUACAGCCGAUGGCUGUAUUUUAAUAAUACAGCAUAUUGCUGUAAAUUGCAAUGAAUUCCAGGGGCGUGGCGGUUUGAAUCAAAUUUACAGAAUAUUGCUGUAAAUUUCAAAUAUACAGAGGCAUUGUGGGAUCUCCAACGGUCAAGAUUCGAGUAGCAGCAAGAGGAGUGAUUUACAACUGUGGUAAGUGACUUAUUAUUUAAUUUCCCCCUCAGUCUUGGUAAAUAUGUAUGUAUUUACAUUCGCGAUUCAUAUUGGUAACCCCGGAUUGACGCAUCCUCCGUCCGCGGGGCGCGAAGCAGACUUGCGCGGGGUUUUCCUCAGCGCGGUCGCGGUAGGAUCUCACACAUUCCCCGGCGCUUUAGCAUAGCGGCUGUGGGCCGAAAAUUAAUAAUUAGAAACAGUUGGAAUUCACGAGAACUUCGUGUUCAUCAGCGCACUUGGUCGUGAUUAUUUUAUGGCGUAAAUCACAUUUGAACAUGCAGACAGUCAUCUGUUAACACGGGCCGAAACGAAAAAGCCUCGCGACGCGAUUAGGCCGCUCACGGAGGAUGUGUCACGCAAAAUGGUGCUGCUUCAUGCUGUUAACGUAACCAAUGUGAUGUAUUUGUGGACAUUUGCUAACCUAAGGUAUUUAUCUGGAGAGAGGAACAAAGACGAACGGAAAAGUGCCAUCUAAAACAACAGGCAGACAGUUCAGAAGAAACGGGUUGCGUUCAACCUACAUGUGGCCACUCUUCUGUGCAAAAUGAUGGAUUUUCAGUGGAAUUUCUGAAAUCCUCUCUUUGAAUCCUGGGAUGGAACAUCAUCUGGAGCAGAAUUGUUCUUUUUUGAUCGCAAGUUUGUUGGACUUGUUGUUUGGCCAUGUUGGUAUGUUCAUGAAGUGAUAAAAGUGAUGUGGGUUUUAAGAAAUGUUUUUAUAUGACCCUGUUGGUCAAGUUAUAGUUAUAAUUGUAUUUCUUUGUGUGAAGGGCCAUGAUGGCCAAUAAGUAAUUUAAAAACAU